AUUGGAUUGAGAACAACGUACAAACCUUAUCGAUAAACAAUUGGAGGGCAAGUCUGGUGCCAGCAGCCGCGGUAAUUCCAGCUCCAAUAGCGUAUAUUAACGUUGUUGCAGUUAAAAAGCUCGUAGUUGAAAUGAAGGGUGAUGAUGUAUUGGGUAUAUUCGUAUACCUCUGUACCCCACCACCCUCCUUCUAAAUUCGAUAUAUGAGUAUUAAUUUACUUGUAUAUGGUUUUAGACAUUUACUGUGAGAAAAUUAGAGUGUUCAAAGCAGGCAUUUGCUUGAAUAUAUUAGCAUGGAAUAAUCAUGUAUGAUUUUCAUG
rnacentral:rRNA from 1 species